UGGGGAAUCUUCCGCAAUGGACGAAAGUCUGACGGAGCAACGCCGCGUGAGUGAUGACGGCCUUCGGGUUGUAAAGCUCUGUUAAUCGGGACGAAUGGUUCUUGUGCAAAUAGUGCGAGGAUUUGACGGUACCGGAAUAGAAAGCCACGGCUAACUACGUGCCAGCAGCCGCGGUAAUACGUAGGUGGCAAGCGUUGUCCGGAAUUAUUGGGCGUAAAGCGCGCGCAGGCGGAUUGGUCAGUCUGUCUUAAAAGUUCGGGGCUUAACCCCGUGAUGGGAUGGAAACUGCCAAUCUAGAGUAUCGGAGAGGAAAGUGGAAUUCCUAGUGUAGCGGUGAAAUGCGUAGAUAUUAGGAAGAGCACCAGUGGCGAAGGCGACUUUCUGGACGAAAACUGACGCUGAGGCGCGAUAGCCAGGGGAGCGAACGGG
rnacentral:rRNA from 1 species